GACGAACCGUGCAAACGUUGUUCGGAAUCACUGGGCUUAAAGGGUGUGUAGGCGGGUAUUCUAGUCUGUGGUGAAAGCCUCCAGCUUAACUGGAGAAGUGCCGUGGAUACUGGAGACCUCGAGGAGGGUAGGGGCAUCUGGAACGGUCGGUGGAGCGGUGAAAUGCGUUGAUAUCGACCGGAACUCCGGUGGCGAAGGCGAGGUGCUGGGCCCUUUCUGACGCUGAAACACGAAAGCCAGGGGAGCAAACGGG
rnacentral:rRNA from 1 species